rnacentral:rRNA from 1 species
UACGAAGGGGGCUAGCGUUGCUCGGAAUCACUGGGCGUAAAGCGCACGUAGGCGGCUUUUUAAGUCAGGGGUGAAAUCCUGGAGCUCAACUCCAGAACUGCCUUUGAUACUGAGAAGCUUGAGUCCGGGAGAGGUGAGUGGAACUGCGAGUGUAGAGGUGAAAUUCGUAGAUAUUCGCAAGAACACCAGUGGCGAAGGCGGCAUCCUGGACCGGCAUUGACGCUGAACAGCGAAAGCCAGGGGAGCAAACGGG